rnacentral:RNase_P_RNA from 2 species
GCAAGAAAACUAGCGACUUUCCAAGGGAGGAAGCUCUGCCCACUCAUAUGUGUAAGUUUCUGAGAAGAAACAAAUGGAUUAUAGAAAGGAUAUAGUUUUAAAACAAUGACGAUGAUAUAUUGAGGAGUUUUAUUUUACUAGUGAAACCAAUUCAUUUUACACGAGUGCAAGCAUUAGCGCUUAGCUAAAUGUCGCUUAAAUUACAGAAGGCAGGCUAUAGUUUUCAUGC